CCUACGGGGUGCAGCAGUAGGGAAUCUUCGGCAAUGAACGAAAGUCUGACCGAGCAACGCCGCGUGAGUGAGGAAGGUUUUCGGAUCGUAAAACUCUGUUGUUAGAGAAGAACAAGUAGGAGAGUAACUGCUCUUACCUUGACGGUAUCUAACCAGAAAGCCACGGCUAACUACGUGCCAGCAGCCGCGGUAAUACGUAGGUGGCAAGCGUUGUCCGGAUUUAUUGGGCGUAAAGCGAGCGCAGGCGGUCUUUUAAGUCUGAUGUGAAAGCCCACGGCUCAACCGUGGAGGGUCAUUGGAAACUGGAAAACUUGAGUGCAGAAGAGGAAAGUGGAAUUCCAUGUGUAGCGGUGAAAUGCGCAGAGAUAUGGAGGAACACCAGUGGCGAAGGCGACUUUCUGGUCUGUAACUGACGCUGAGGCGCGAAAGCGUGGGGAGCAAACAGGAUUAGAUACCCGCGUAGUC
rnacentral:rRNA from 1 species